rnacentral:rRNA from 1 species
UACGUAGGGUGCAAGCGUUGUCCGGAAUUAUUGGGCGUAAAGAGCUCGUAGGCGGUUCGUCGCGUCGGCUGUGAAAUCCCGAGGCUCAACCUCGGGUCUGCAGUCGAUACGGGCGGACUGGAGUUCGGCAGGGGAGACUGGAAUUCCUGGUGUAGCGGUGAAAUGCGCAGAUAUCAGGAGGAACACCGGUGGCGAAGGCGAGUCCCUGGACAACUCCUGACACUGAGGCACGAAAGCUAGGGGAGCAAACAGG